ensembl:lncRNA
GUGUAUACUGUUACUGUUGCUUAAAGACAAGUUUAACAGCUCUUUUGUCUUGUACUAAAACUCUUACAAAUCAAAUAAGUUGUGACCUAAUAUAUUUGCAUUUCAUGGAUUCAGGACUCAUCACAUGGACUAAAAUGCAAGCUGCAUCCUCUUAACAGUUCAACUUGGAAGGCAGACAGUCCAGCUAUAAGUCUAUGACUGUAGAUGUAACUCUUUCUAAUAAUAAUUUAUUACAGUUAUUAUUUCUUUUUAAAUUGCAUAAAUUAUAUCAUCGUUAAAGAUGACUGCACAAAGAUCUCGGUUUUGUGAAGAGAUGGGCAUCUUCAAUGAGAUCUUCACAACCGAUGGGUCAAACUCCUCUGAUCUCAACAGCACUGAAGUGGAAGCUAGUUUUAAAAUGGCCUCCUUGGUAGAUAUAAAUGUAAUCCUGUUAUGUUUUCCUCUAAACUCCUACGUGAUUUGGCUUAUAGUAACAGGAACAGGGAGUGGACUUGCAACAGAGUUCUUCAAUCUCAACCUUGCUGUCUGUGAGAUCUUCAUAUGUGUGCAAUCAGUCGUAUCUCUUCUCGAGUAUGAAUGGGAAGAUCUCUGGAUAGCUGUGGAGUUUUUAGAUGGACUCGCCGUCACUGGUCGUCCUCUGUUUCAGUGUCUGAUUUGUGUUGAGCGUUACCUGGCAGUAGUUCAUCCUGUAACAUUUCUGAAGUACAAACCUCUCAGAUAUAGAGUGAUCUGCUGUGUUAUUGUCUGGGUGGCAGGAUUUGUAUCCUGUGUGGUCAACAUGAUGACUUUAUUGUUGUUGCUCUGUACACACUAAAAAAUGCUGGGUUAUUUAAUCUACCCAACCGCUGGGUUAUGAAAUGCUCUACCCAUUAUGGGUUAUUUUUAUGGAAUUUGGGUUAUUUUGUGCAACUCAUGCGUUGAGUCAAAAUCCAUCAACCCAACUUAUAUCGGUUAACCCAGCACGUGGGUUGUUUGUGCUUCGAACCUCAUCAUCACCAGAGUCUACACACCGAGCGCUCGUCACAGCAGAGAACCUGACUGCUCAUUCAGCGAGGCCAAUAAAUAAUAAAAGGUAUGUGUACA